rnacentral:tRNA from 1 species
GGGGCUGUAGCUCAGUUUGGGAGAGCGCUUCGUUCGCAACGAAGAGGUCGUCGGUUCGAUCCCGAUCAGCUCCACAA